CUCACAUUCUGUAAAUAGUUUACCACAAAUCCCUAAGUAUUUUUUGAGUGAUAUUGCUGUUCAUGGUCUGCCACUUUAACUGACCUUGGCAAUAGAAUAGUUUUCCUUCUCCAAACAAUCUUAAAAUAAUACCUCAAAAUAAAUCCUGUGAAGAGCAGGACCAGAAAAUAGAUGGGAAGAAACAAUCUUUGAACCCAAGAAACAUGGAAGAUUGGCUCACUCAGAAAAUAAAAAAGGUAGCACGGUCCAGGACAGGAAGCAUCCCAGCAAGACAGCAGUAGACUCUAUCUAUAGCAAACCAAGGGGAGACCUUGAAUAUCAGUGUGGGAGCAGGCAGACAUCAACACCAGAUAUCUUCUACAUAAGAUCUACCAAAUGAUAUUGAUAUUCUGAGUCAUUUAAUAAUUUUUUAAUACCCUGUGACAUUAUCUCUCUACUUCCUGUUCUACUCAGUCAUACACUUGGAAAUAUUAUUUACAUUACAUACCCUGAAUAUAUUCUUAAUAAAUAUGUUGCAACUAAUCUUAAAAUCUAAUGUCUAUCUUUUUCUUGCUUUUUAAGGUUAAAAAUCAAUUUGAUCAUUCUUAGAUCAUAGUAUUUUUAAGCAUGUUUAGAAGAUAGCAUAAGGACAAUGUGUAUUAUGUAGCCUUGAAGCCAGGAAGACCUAGAUCCAAAUCCUUCCUUUAACAUAUACUGGCUGAGUAACCCUGGACAAAAAUUAAAAUCACAGUAUUUUAAACAACUCUCCAAUUUUAAGUUGAAGGGAAGACAAUUGAUAUAUGGAAUUUGCUCACCUGAUAAUACUAAAUACCAAUGAAAUCACAGAUUUAGAUCCUAUAUCAUUAGGAAAUCAUUAAUGCUAGGAAAAUAACUCCAUAGACUAGUAGACAAUGUGGUCAUUGAAAGUAUUGCUCUACUUAAAAAGGGUACAUAUGGAGUACUUACAAAUGGAAAAAAAACCAGAUAUUUUUUGGUGGGAAGUCCCAGGAGGGCUUCAUGAAGAAAGUAACACUGCAGCUAUGCUUUGAAAGGUAGAAAGAAUUUCAAGAAGUGAAAUAUGAGUCUGGGAAAUGAAUUAGACAAAUAUUCUAAACAGUAUUAGAGUAGACUGAAAG